UACGUAGGGUGCAAGCGUUGUCCGGAAUUAUUGGGCGUAAAGAGCUCGUAGGCGGUCUGUCGCGUCUGCUGUGAAAAUCCGGGGCUCAACCCCGGACUUGCAGUGGGUACGGGCAGACUAGAGUGUGGUAGGGGGAGACUGGAAUUCCUGGUGUAGCGGUGGAAUGCGCAGAUAUCAGGAGGAACACCGGUGGCGAAGGCGGGUCUCUGGGCAGUAACUGACGCUGAGGAGCGAAAGCGUGGGGAGCGAACAGG
rnacentral:rRNA from 1 species